GUCAAGGAAGGGUGUUGCUGGCAUCGCUCAGUGCCGCGGCUCUCACGCUUAUACCUGUGCCACUGUUGAACCGCGUCUUGCUAUUCAUUCAGCUUUGCAGAAAAUCAACAUGAACGAUUAAAAAUUCACAUAUCGAUAGAAAUCUU